rnacentral:rRNA from 1 species
AACGAACGCUGGCGGCAUGCCUAACACGUGCAAGUCGAACGAGACCUUCGGGUCUAGUGGCGCACGGGUGCGUAACGCGAGGGAACCUGCCCUUAGGUUCGGAAUAACUCCCCGAAAGGGGUGCUAAUACCGGAUAAUGUCUUCGGACCAAAGAUUUAUCGCCUUUGGAUGGGCCCGCGUUGGAUUAGCUAGUUGGUAGGGUAAAAGCCUACCAAGGCGACGAUCCAUAGCUGGUCUGAGAGGAUGAUCAGCCACACUGGGACUGAGACACGGCCCAGACUCCUACGGGAGGCAGCAGUGGGGAAUAUUGGACAAUGGGCGAAAGCCUGAUCCAGCAAUGCCGCGUGAGUGAUGAAGGCCUUAGGGUUGUAAAGCUCUUUUACCCGGGAUGAUAAUGACAGUACCGGGAGAAUAAGCGCCGGCUAACUCCGUG